AGCGAACGCUGGCGGCAGGCCUAACACAUGCAAGUCGAGCGCCCCGCAAGGGGAGCGGCAGACGGGAGAGUAACACGUGGGAACGUACCCUUCAGUUCGGAACAACCCAGGGAAACUUGGGCUAAUACCGGAUACGUCCGUAAGGAGAAAGAUUUAUCGCUGAAGGAUCGGCCCGCGUCUGAUUAGCUAGUUGGUGGGGUAACGGCCCACCAAGGCGAAGAUCAGUAGCUGGUCUGAGAGGAUGAUCAGCCGCACUGGGACUGAGACACGGCCCAGACUCCUACGGGAGGCAGGAGUGGAGAAUAUUGGAAAAUGGGCGCAAGCCUGAUCCAGCCAGGCCGCGUGGAUGAUGAAGGCCCUAGGGUUGUAAAGUCCUUUCGGCGGGGAAGAUAAUGACGGUACCCGCAGAAGAAGCCCCGGCUAACUUCGUGCCAGCCGCCGCCGUAA
rnacentral:rRNA from 1 species